CACAAAACUCUCACACAGGUUCUUUAAAGUAAAGUUAGGAGCCGAAGUAGCAAGGCUGUUUGCUCCAUACAACAACAACAACAACAACAACAACAACAACAACAACAACAACAACAACAAGGCUGAUAAAGUUCCAAGCAUUCAGCUUAAAGCAGACCUUCUUGCUUCAGGACUUGGAGAACAAAGGUGAUCUUUUCAGGAAAUGACAACGAUCCCAUGGUUGUAACAAACAAACUGAUGGAGGUGUUUCCAAAGCUGCAAGAAGGGG